AAUAAUUAGAUUCACGCUAAGAUCCGAUUUAACUCUAUAUCGCCCAAAUGUAGUAAAUUAAUUAUGACUGUAACACCCAAUCUCAAUCAUCGGUUCUCUCUCUUUCUAGUUGCUAACUUUACUUUACUUUUGCAGUAUCACCCAUCAUUGUCUCACGGCUAUAUUGAAGCCAUCUUCUCAUAGACAAACUGAAAUAUAUUGGAAAUUUUUUCGUGGCAGUACUAACGGCGAUUUUAUAUAUUUAUACAGAUCUUGAUAUCUUUAUUCGGUGAUAUGAUGACUAUAUUAUGCUUCCUAUAAGAUCUCCCGUGAGUAAUAACUAUGAGAAAAAUUAAAUCAUCAACUUGAAAAAUUCGACAGGUUCUGUUCAAACAUAUUACCCCAGGUGCUUGUAUAAUGCCAAGAUACCACUACUUGUAGGUCAUCAAUUAGCGGUAGAAUGGUAAGAGCACACUAGCUAGGAGAUAAUUCUAAUUUUACCACAAACUUAAUACUACUUUCAAAUUUACCUUUAAAAGAUGACUAUUUUCAUAAAUACUCUUAUUUUUUAUAAGAAAAUUAAACUAACCAUUUUAAAUCAUUUAUAAAAGUUAAACAAUCAUUUAUAAAAUUUUAUAAAUCCAACUUCACUCCUUAGAAACUAAACCCUAAAUAAUAAUCAAUAAAUCCUAAACCUAAAUGUCAAGAUACUUUAAUUUGACUGAAAAUAUUUUUGAAAAGUAAUAGCUAACUUAUAGUAUUUCAAGCAAUUUCUCUUUUGUUUUCCUCUCUUUUGCUUACAAACUCUCGCAUGCUUAGAUAGAGAAAAAAUCGUUCUAAUUAGAAAAAAUACCAUUGUUUUCAUUUCAUUUCAAGAUUUUUUUUGGAUGAAAGUACAACGUUACAAAUGAGCAAAACAAAGGAUUACUUUACAUAUACAAAUUGCGCUUAUUACUGUAUUAUUACGAUACAUAACACGAUUACAAAACUAAGUUCAAAUUAAUAUAUAUAUAUAUGUAUAUAUAAAUGUAUAAUUUUCCAAAGAAGCAAAUUUAUCUUACAAAAUAAAAAGAUAAAUCCAAAAAGUGUGAACUCGAUCAUUAGCCGGGAAUAAUAUAUAUGUUGUCAACAAUGUAUUAUUUUUUUCGAAAGAGAAUUAAAAAGCCGUAUAUACCAAAGGAACCAAUUAUUUACAAGUGACAACAUUAUUCCAAACUGGUUGAAUUAAACAGAUCAAUGCACCUGGAGCGCAGAAACCAUAUCGCUGCUCAAUAUGCGUCUAUAAAUAGUGGUUUCAAGAAAUCUCCUCAACAGCUCAUCAACGACUCUUUGGGAGAAUCUUGUGACCUUGUCCCAAACCAAGUGCGUAAGCCUUCAUCAAGAUGCUUUAUACCCCUUCCCUUGGAUUGAUAACAUUAUGACGCGGACCGUUUUGUCUACAAACUUAGUCAGGCUAUUCGCAUCAGACGGUUGCUCACCAUGUCGACGCGAGUUACGCUUCCUCCAUAUACUGUGAACAGUGCUUGAAAGGUAUAGCGUAGAAGAAAUACCUCUGUAGGAUUGUGUCUCGUAGUGGUGUGAUAAUGUCAAUCAUAUCACUACACGUUGGUGAUAAUCCACUAAUAAUUACAUUAUUGACUGAAGCAAUUAUGAACUUGUAAAGGCCAAAACACCAGUUUGGUUUCUCUAAUACCAAUAAUCAAUAUUCCUGUAUUUUCCCAGUUGGUCAUGAGAUAUAUUAGGUAUUAUAGGCUCUUUUUUGGCCAAAG